GUUCCCUACGGGGGGCAGCAGUGGGGAAUAUUGGACAAUGGGGGGAACCCUGAUCCAGCGACGCCGCGUGAGUGAAGAAGUAUUUCGGUAUGUAAAGCUCUAUCAGCAGGGAAGAAAGAAAUGACGGUACCUGACUAAGAAGCCCCGGCUAACUACGUGCCAGCAGCCGCGGUAAUACGUAGGGGGCAAGCGUUAUCCGGAUUUACUGGGUGUAAAGGGAGCGUAGACGGCGAUGCAAGUCUGAAGUGAAAGGCGGGGGCCCAACCCCCGGACUGCUCUGGAAACUGUGUAACUUGAGGGCAGGG
rnacentral:rRNA from 1 species